ACGCUGGCGGCAGGCCUAACACAUGCAAGUCGAGCGGUAGAGAGAAGCUUGCUUCUCUUGAGAGCGGCGGACGGGUGAGUAAUGCCUAGGAAUCUGCCUGGUAGUGGGGGAUAACGUUCGGAAACGGACGCUAAUACCGCAUACGUCCUACGGGAGAAAGCAGGGGACCUUCGGGCCUUGCGCUAUCAGAUGAGCCUAGGUCGGAUUAGCUAGUUGGUGGGGUAAUGGCUCACCAAGGCGACGAUCCGUAACUGGUCUGAGAGGAUGAUCAGUCACACUGGAACUGAGACACGGUCCAGACUCCUACGGGAGGCAGCAGUGGGGAAUAUUGGACAAUGGGCGAAAGCCUGAUCCAGCCAUGCCGCGUGUGUGAAGAAGGUCUUCGGAUUGUAAAGCACUUUAAGUUGGGAGGAAGGGCAGUAAAUUAAUACUUUGCUGUUUUGACGUUACCGACAGAAUAAGCACCGGCUAACUCUGUGCCAGCAGCCGCGGUAAUACAGAGGGUGCAAGCGUUAAUCGGAAUUACUGGGCGUAAAGCGCGCGUAGGUGGUUCGUUAAGUUGGAUGUGAAAUCCCCGGGCUCAACCUGGGAACUGCAUUCAAAACUGACGAGCUAGAGUAUGGUAGAGGGGUGGUGGAAUUUCCUGUGUAGCGGUGAAAUGCGUAGAUAUAGGAAGGAACACCAGUGGCGAAGGCGACCACCUGGACUGAUACUGACACUGAGGUGCGAAAGCGUGGGGAGCAAACAGGAUUA
rnacentral:rRNA from 1 species